rnacentral:rRNA from 1 species
AUACUGCAGUCGAACGCUUCUUUUCCCACGUUACUUUGUUCCACCGGGCAAAGAGGAGUGUGAUUCGGGGGAGGUAACCUACCGAUACCUGCCCAUCAAAUUCGGUAACACUUAGAAAUACCGCAAAAACCGUAUAACCAUCUGGACCGAUUGGGUACGAUUUGAAUGCUAUUUUUUAUAGACGGACCUGGAUGGACUCGCGUAGCUGGAACUAGAUGGUGUUACCACGGCUCAAUACGUCACCAUGCUGAGACGACCAGCGAGCGUGAUCGAACUGAUUGGCACUGAAAACUCCUACAAAAUCCUACGGGAGGCAAUCUUACGCAAUCUUCGAGAAUGUGACAAAGCCUGACCGCGCGACGGAUCAAGGGUUUCGAAUGUUAUCGGAUCGUUAUUAUCUGAUAACAAACGUGAACGURGCUGAGAGUAUCUGGACGCCCCCUGAUCGUAUCUCCACGGCC